GAUGAACGCUGGCGGCGUGCCUAAUACAUGCAAGUCGAGCGAACAGACGAGGAGCUUGCUCCUCUGACGUUAGCGGCGGACGGGUGAGUAACACGUGGAUAACCUACCUAUAAGACUGGGAUAACUUCGGGAAACCGGAGCUAAUACCGGAUAAUAUAUUGAACCGCAUGGUUCAAUAGUGAAAGACGGUUUUGCUGUCACUUAUAGAUGGAUCCGCGCCGCAUUAGCUAGUUGGUAAGGUAACGGCUUACCAAGGCAACGAUGCGUAGCCGACCUGAGAGGGUGAUCGCCCACACGGGAACUGAGAACCGUUCCCAACCCCUACGGGAGGCAGCAGUAGGGAAUUUUCCGCAAUGGGCGAAAGCCUGGCGGAGCAACCCCGCGGGAGUGAUGAAGGUCUUCGGAUCGUAAAACUUUUUUAUUAGGGAAGAAAAAAUGUGUAAGUAACUAUCCACGUCUUGACGGUACCUAAUCAGAAAGCCACGGCUAACUACGU
rnacentral:rRNA from 1 species